rnacentral:rRNA from 1 species
GUCUCAGGCCGUAUCAGCCUGAAGGCGCCCGAUCUCGUCUGAUCUCGGAAGCUAAGCAGGGUCGGGCCUGGUUAGGAUCUUGGAUGGGAGACCACCUAGGGAAUCCCGGGUGCUCGAGGCU